rnacentral:tRNA from 1 species
GCGUCCGUAGCUCAGCUGGAUAGAGCAGCUGACUUCUAAUCAGCGGGUCGGGGGUUCGAGUCCCUCCGGACGCGCCA